UUUUUUAUAGGACAAGGAUUUCCUGCAAACAAGUUUGCAGGAAAUGCUACAUACAAGGCAAGGUGUCAAUUCGUGAGAGUGACAAGUGUCCUAGGUCAUGUGCAUUGCACAUGACCAGUUAACUCAAAUUUGAGGACUAACAGUGUUAGAAUUUUGCUUCAGAACCGUUUGCUCUCUCUCUCUAAAUCAGACGUUCUCUAUCUUCGUCCAAGAUCUCUCUCUCAUCCUCCGUGCUCAGCCUAGCCACAUCCACUCAUUCCCUCAGAAUUUUUCAAGAACGCAGUAGAGGAGACCAUCAUUCUUUAGAGGUUGGGCAGGAUUAAGUCACAUUUGUCUGUAAAGAAAUUGGCGUUGAAACCCUUUCUUUACCUUUCUUCAUUGUGGUGAUCUUAUUGUUUGAAGGUUAUAAAGGGAGCUAUCGUUCAAUUUUAGUUAAGUUUCCUUUCUAGUUUAAUUUAGGUAAUAAGGCGAAAGACUUGGCAGAGUAUGUAUUGUAUUGUUGUAUUGUCCAAUUUUGUCGCAUGAGUGUUCUUGUUCAUUUAUUAAAAAACCUUUAUAUACCGUACAAACCAAGAUAAUGGAAUAAAAUAUAAUUAUUCUUUUCUAAAUA